CCUACGGGUGGCAGCAGUGAGGAAUAUUGGUCAAUGGCCGGAAGGCUGAACCAGCCAUGCCGCGUGAAGGUCAGUGCCCUAUGGGCGUUAAACUUCUUUUGUGCGGGAGCAAUAAUGGUCACGUGUGGCCAGACGAGGGUACCGUACGAAUAAGCAUCGGCUAACUCCGUUCCAGCAGCCGCGGUAAUACGGGGGAUGCAAGCGUUAUCCGGAUUUAUUGGGUUUAAAGGGUGCGUAGGCUGUGAGGUAAGUCAGCGGUGAAAUGCCCCCGCUCAACGGGGUGAAGUGCCAUUGAUACUGCCUGGCUGGAAUGCGGAUGCCGUGGGAGGAAUGUGUGGUGUAGCGGUGAAAUGCAUAGAUAUCACACAGAACACCGAUUGCGAAGGCAUCUCACGAAUCCGCGAUUGACGCUGAUGCACGAAAGCGUGGGUAUCAAACAGGAUUAGAUACCCCAGUAGUC
rnacentral:rRNA from 1 species